rnacentral:tRNA from 1 species
GUAGUUAUGUCAGAAGAUUUAUGAGUUAGCUUUAAGCGUUAAUUAUGGGCGUAGGCCCUAGCUACU